UACGGAGGGUGCAAGCGUUGUCCGGAUUUAUUGGGUUUAAAGGGUGCGUAGGCGGCGCGGUAAGUCGGGUGUGAAAUCUCGGAGCUUAACUCCGAAACUGCAUUCGAUACUGCCGUGCUUGAGGACUGGAGAGGAGACUGGAAUUUACGGUGUAGCGGUGAAAUGCGUAGAUAUCGUAAGGAAGACCAGUGGCGAAGGCGGGUCUCUGGACAGUUCCUGACGCUGAGGCACGAAGGACAGGGGAGCAAACGGG
rnacentral:rRNA from 1 species